rnacentral:tRNA from 1 species
GCCCCGGUGGCGCAAUCGGUUAGCGCGCCGUACUUAUAGACAGUACAUUUAAAUAGAUAUGCGGAGGUUGUGAGUUCGACCCUCACUCGGGGCA